AUUUUUCGAAUUCUUACAUUAAUUACAUCGUUUCAUCAUCUCUUUCUUACAUCACAUUUUCCUCAAAAUAGGAUUUACAUUCUUUUCUUUACAUCACUAUUCAUCAAGUCCAAAAGAUGAUAACAGGGUGUCUACUAACAAAAUGUACCCAACAUCGGUGGCCUCUGUCUAAGGCGCGAUACCUUUACCUCGGUCGCUCGCCGGCUCGCUCGGUCCCGGCUCUGUGGAAAUAGUGGGAUGAGAACUACAACAAAGUUCCCAGUGGGUUCGGCCCCAACAUCACCGACUUUCCCACUAGGACUAACUCAGGCAUAAUAGAAAGGAUAAGUAAGGUAUAGUAACCAAUCUAUAACAUGAUGCUAAUAUGCCUGAACAAAUAGCAAGAAAUAUGCUCAACAUUAAAUAUAUGCAGAUUAUGCAAAUUCUUUAUUCUUUUCACUUUACUCUUGUUCUUUGUUCUUUACACUUUGUGCUUGGCUCUUUGUUCUUUAAUCUCAAGGCUAACCCGGGGGUUUCGCCACUUUAACUUGCUUCACAUUAAGUCCAUCAUCGCAGGAACUCACCAGCUAGGACCGUCCUUACGGGUCUACUCCAACCCGGAUGCAUAACUCCGGAGCGCAUCGCCCGAAGGGGAGCGACCGCCCUCGAGCACGGAACUCAUAGCAAGCAUGAUCAUAUCCUUAACUCAAAGGAUUAUAAGUUCAAUCUUGACUUUACACUAGCUCUAGUGUUCUUUACAUCACUUUAUGUUGCAAACUCAUGCAAUCACAUUCUUAACAUUUUCAUUUCACUUGCUAACUCUAGCAUUCUUGUUCUUAUUGCCCCAUUUUACUUUAACUUCACACAUUGUCACUUUCUUCAUUCUUUACUUCACUUUAGUUCUAGGCAUCACACUAACUCUAGUGUCUCUUUACU
rnacentral:lncRNA from 1 species